CCUACGGGUGGCAGCAGUAGGGAAUAUUGCUCAAUGGGGGGAACCCUGAACCAGCAACGCCGCGUGGAGGAUGAAGGUUUUCGGAUUGUAAACCUCUUUUGGUAGAGAAGAAAAUGACGGUAUCUAACGAAUAAGCACCGGCUAACUCCGUGCCAGCAGCCGCGGUAAUACGGCGGGGGCAAGCGUUACUCGGAGUCACUGGGCGUAAAGAGAGCGUAGGCGGGAAUGAAAGUCAGAUGUGAAAUACUAUGGCCUAACCAUCGAACUGCAUUUGAUACUGUGAUUCUAGAGUAUGGGAGAGGUAGGUGGAAUUCUUGGUGUAGCGGUGAAAUGCGUAGAGAUCAAGAGGAAUACUCAUUGCGAAGGCGGCCUGCUGGACCAUAACUGACGCUGAGGCGCGAAAGCGUGGGGAGCAAACAGGAUUAGAUACCCGUGUAGUC
rnacentral:rRNA from 1 species